UACGUAGGGUGCAAGCGUUGUCCGGAAUUAUUGGGCGUAAAGAGCUCGUAGGCGGUCUGUCGCGUCUGCUGUGAAAACUCAGGGCUUAACCCUGAGCUUGCAGUGGGUACGGGCAGACUAGAGUGCGGUAGGGGAGACUGGAAUUCCUGGUGUGAGCGGUGAAACUGACGCAGAUAUCAGGAGGAACACCGAUGGCGAAGGCAGGUCUCUGGG
rnacentral:rRNA from 1 species